rnacentral:rRNA from 1 species
GACGAACGCUGGCGGCGUGCUUAACACAUGCAAGUCGAACGGAAAGACCCUGCUUUUGUGGGGUGCUCGAGUGGCGAACGGGUGAGUAACACGUGAGUAACCUGCCCUUGACUUUGGGAUAACUUCAGGAAACUGGGGCUAAUACCGGAUAGGAGCUCCUGCUGCAUGGUGGGGGUUGGAAAGUUUCGGCGGUUGGGGAUGGACUCGCGGCUUAUCAGCUUGUUGGUGGGGUAGUGGCUUACCAAGGCUUUGACGGGUAGCCGGCCUGAGGGGGUGACCGGCCACAUUGGGACUGAGAUACGGCCCAGACUCCUCCGGGAGGAAGCAGUGGGGAAUAUUGCACAAUGGGCGGAAGCCUGAUCCAGCAACGCCGCGUGCGGGAUGACGGCCUUCGGGUUGUAAACCGCUUUCGCCUGUGACGAAGCGUGAGUGACGGUAAUGGGUAAAGAAGCACCGGCUAACUACGUG